GGCAACUGCCAUUGCAAAGAUGUGACACUCACUAACACUGUCACACUCAACAGAUCUUGAGAACCCGACACACUGUGCCAUGGCUGCAGAGGAAGGGGUGGGUACUUGGGGAAGCAGCAGGACCAGUUAGGAAGCAGAGGGAGAGAGUGCAGCUGUGGGCAAGAGCCUUUGUUGUGUUCUCCUCAGGAAGGAACAGGCCCCAAGCAGGGGUAAGCAUUGGCUAAUUUGAAUAAUUUCAGCAGACUCUGGUCUCAGGAGGCUGCCCCUGGUUGAUGGGUAUCUGGGGUGAUUAAGGCAGAAGGGUAGUGGCCUGGCCUGGAGUAGGAAAGCCUGAUAAAAAAAAAAAAGUUAUUGAGAGUCUAGGUUCAGGACUGGUCCAUUUACAUUUAAAAGGUAGGAGAGAACUGUUUGCAAUUUCUAGAAUUGACUAAUCUUGGGAGUAAGUCCUGGGGCAGUCCCUUCAAGGUCAGGAAGGCCUGGAGGUCAAAGCAUCAGAAUACAGAAAAAUUAAUGACAUGGUUAAUACAGGAGCGAACCCAGCAGAGACCUCUGAAGUCUAAAAAUAUAUACGUUGGGAUUUUAUGGAUGAGGAGAGUGGAAAUUGGAUGAGAAGAACUGUAAGGAAGGGGAUAAUUAGAAUUAUUUUCAAAAUACCUGGGACAACAAAGUACCACAUCCAGUUGUCCCUCUCCAUCCAUGGGGACUGGUUCUAGGACCUCCUGCAGAUACCAAAAUCCUGGGAUGCUGAAGUCCCUUGUACAGAGUGGCAUAGAAUUUGCAUAUAAUCUACAUACACCCUCCCAUGUACUUUCAGUCAUGUCGAGAUUACUUAUAAUCCCUGAUACGAGGCAUUACAAUGUAGUAUAAACAUACAGUGCUCUGUAAAUAGUUGUAAAUGCAAUGUGAAUGCAAGGUGAAUAGUUGGCCGCAUGCAGCAAAUGCAAGCGUUGCUCUUUGGAACUUUCUGGAAUUUCUUUCUUCACGUAUUUUCCAUCUGCAGCUGGUUGGAUCUGUGGACACGGAAGCCUCGGAUACGGUGGACUGUACUGAGAAAAGGACAGAGACAUAAGACGAGCAAAGGCAGUUUUCAGUUGGGGACAAGCAUAGGUUAGCAAGGGGGCUGAAGCUGAGCGAAACCAAGGCCGUCCUUUUGUUCUCAGAAAAGUUAGGAGGUGGCCCCGGUCCCAGGCUUAAAGGCGGCUGCAGAAGCACUUACUUUAGGUGGCAUCACUUGGCAGCGGGUGUCAGUGCCCUGCUUGUCCUGCUCUGCUGGCUUCAAAAUGCCCACGCGCCUUAUUGUGGUCAGCAUGGCUUUCCUUCGUCUCAUCCUUCCUGUGUCUCGGGUAUCACCUCCAGCUUCCUCCAGCUCCUCAGCUCCCACCCUCCUUCUCUCUGUUCCUUGACGGUAGGAGUCUCCUGUACUCCCUCCGGGGGGCCUUCACCUUCCCUCUCUUCUGCUCAGCUGUGCUAUUCCUUCUGGGCUUUUUUAUGGCAAGGUGCUUUUUAUAAUUUAGUUUCAGCUUAAUUAUCACCUCCGAAGAAGGGGUUUCUUGAAUGCCCCCGUCCGCAGAAGCCAUCUCAUCGAAUUCUCUGCAUUGUGCUUAUCAUCCUCUGUUAUUUUGUUGUGUAUGUAUUUGCUUCGUGUCUGUAUUUUUCUAAGAAAGCAGGGACCUGGGUUGUGUUUACCGCUGUCAUGCCAGGGCCUAAAGGUGUGUCCAGGACACACAACGGACUCGGCCUUUGUUGAAUGAAUGAAUGGACUGCCUAAAAACACCACAUUCUUCACGCUGCCUCCAGCCAGCUCAGGAACAACUUCCUAAAGGGACUCUGAAAAUGAAAAAAGGAAACAGUGCGUGGAUUCUGGCCCCAGUAGGCUUCUGGGCUUGGUGUUUCUUUAAUUUCAUGUAAAUUUCUCUAAGUAAAUAUUCCUUAAAAGUGAAUAAAAUUUUAUUUCGCUUUAACAAGAGAAUAUAAAAGUUAAAAAGGUCACUGUAGUAAUAGACUAAUCUCAAUUACCAGGGCAGCCUCCGAAACCCUCACUCCCACCUAAUCUCAUUCGGUGCAGACGCAGCUCACCGUGUGAUUUCCAACACAGCUAAAUGAAAUUAUAAAGCAGUGUUAAAUUUAUUAAUCAUUUAAUUAGCUAAAUGUUCCUGCAAGUACUCGCGAGAUGAAUGGCAUGUCAUUUUCUAAUGCAAUUUGCCUCUCCGGCAGCCAGGGUCAGAAAGGGAAGCUCCUGGCAUCUCCAAUGAGCUUUUUAUAUCACACCUUCUAUUAAGGGACAGUGGUGAUACCAGUGAUCUGAUCGUAUUUGAGACUUGUCCCCAAGACCAGGGCACGUGGGUGCUGGAAGGGGGAAGAGAAAGAGGACUCUCCCUCUCGCCCAGGUUACAAAGAGGAGGGGCAGGGUGGCCGGGAGUCCCUGCAAGAUCGCCCCUCCCUGUGUCUCCUUGCAGGGCGAAUCUUUUCAUAUUUAACAAGCCACUGAGCAGAGCAGAGCAAAAGAUAGCAGCCAGUAUUAAACGCAUGCUCAAUCUAGUUUUAUUUCUUUAAAUUUACUCAGUCGAGAAAAAUUUGUGGAGUGCGAAUUCUCCUCAUGCUAGGGGACUUUUUAAUCCUUCUCGUUGAGUCAGGAUUUAUUUCUCCCUCCCAGCCUUCCAGGCUCUGCCUGUCAUUUGGGGGGGUGAUCGUGCUCCCCUUUGCUCUUUGAACAGGGUCCGCUCAGGAGGGGCGUUCUAUUCCUAGCACUGGGAGGUGUUCCUGGGGAGCUUGGGGAUUUGGGGCUGGCUUUGACGCCUAAUUAUUUCUGACUGCAAAACCCCGUGACCGGUGGCUGCUGCAGGUGCCUUGUAAAUCUCUUCCCGUUUGUGGUGAGAAAACUGGCAUGUAGAACAUUGUCUGAAUUCACUUGGCAAAGGAGCUGUUGGGGGGCAAGGGUGGGCACUGUAAACACGUGAGGCUGAAAACAUCCAAAUGAGCUCCCGUCUGUCUGUUCAGGGUGGACGCUGUCGGUUCUGAGAACCUCAGUAGGAGCAGCCCUGUGUCAUAUGAAUGUCUCUAGUUCACAGAUCCACCGUGCAGGCACAAUCUUUCCUGCAUCAAGGAGGGUGGAAGCAAUGGGAUGCCGUGGGUCCAGGUCUGAGGGCUGUUGUUUGUCCCAGUUCCACCUGCCCUUGGCUGUAGUCACCCGGACCAGUCUCCCUGAUGCCACCAUCCAUAAAAUAGGGGUCGUACGAACACUCAACCGUGAUAUCAGUAAUAGCUACUCAGGAUUGUCAUACGGGUUCAGUAAAACCAGGCGCUUGAAUCAGUUAUCUGCGUUCUGAAAUGGUGUACAUUGUGGAAGUAUUUUAUUUUGUUUUAAUUUUUUUUUUUUCCUUUGGAGCACCAUGGCUUUGGGUCAAGUAGCUCAAUAUCUGAAACUUGGCUCAUCACUUAGGAUCCCGAGUGAGAUAUUUAGCGUCUCUGUGCCUUGGUUUCCUUAGUAAUGAGAUCAGAAUAUUAACAGCAGUACAGAUUAGAGAAAAAAAAAAUUGUGUGUGUGUGGGUAGAUGUUUGUGUGUGGACAUACAUACGUAAACAUAAUGAAAUACAUAUAAUACACACAUGUUUACAGCCUGCCACCUGAUCCCGCUCAACAAAAGUGUCAGCUCUUAGUGUUGUUGCUGUUACUCCUCCUUAUUCCUCUGGUUGUGUCAACACAGAUAAAGGCUACCACCUCUCCCCCCCAAAAGUCUGCGUUUUAUUUAACACAGACCUCAUCGAAUACAUUUUCAGAACUAUAGAGAGAGGUAAUAUUCUGGACUCACUUCCAGGACACGGAAGAGAGGAGACCAGUGCAUGUGGUAGAACCGUGGCAUAGAAUUUAAGAGCCCAGCCGUGGAGUAAAGCCAUGGCCAUUUCUAAUUCUCCUCCAUCCCGUGUGAGCUCAGUGACCUUGAAUGGAUGACCUACUGUGCGGAGCCUCAGUUUCUCCGUCUCCAAAAUGCAGGUCAUCGCAUUGCCUUCCUCCCACCCAAGCUUGUUGCCAGGAUGCCACAGGAAACCCAGAACCUAAGUCUGGCACACACACAGCUUAUGAAUCCUGGCUCAAUGGAGAGAGAAGGAGCAGAAUGAGAGUGAGAGAGGCGGAAGUGAAAAAGUUGCAGCCCAUGUAGAUUUUCACGUUGACAAAAGCGUCUUCUUCCACUUCCUUGGGUUAUUUUGCAACCAUCCCUUUAGAGAGGAUACCCUGGGCCUUCAUUUUCCCUUUGGGCCCCAGAAAGGCCAACAGAAGCCUGGAGAUGUGAAUCGACCCUGUGCCAAGGGUCUCAAUAGGUUGGCAGGAGCCCGGAGCAGGACACGUGUCUCCUAUUGUUGUCCUUGUUUGGCGGGGUGGGAGAAGAGCUCCUCAAUGAUUCUUGACUUGUCAUCAGCUCUCCCCACAAACCAUCCCGUCGGUCUCUUGCUGAGCCUUCCGACCUACAAACCAAGGUGUAUGGUUUCACCCAGGUGUUUUCAUAGACUGAGAGGCAUUUUGGAAUUUGUCGUUGGAUUGUUGAAGUUCCGGUUUAAUUCAUUCACGUAUCUGCAUCUUCAAUAAACCCUCCUAGAAGGUGUCCGAUGUGACAGGUAGAGGGGCUCCCAGGAGGAAUUUACAUCCUGGAAGUACAAUUUCUUUCUUUUUUGAAAAGAAAUUUUAUUGUCGUAGAGAGGACUUACAACCUCGCCUGAGUUUCUGUGGUGCGGCAAAGUGAAUUUCAGGUCAGUGCCGUCCACAUCAGAGCCGUGAGCACAAAUGCACGGAUUGUACUCCUCCAAUCCGCCCCUGCCUGUCUCCUUCAAGUUCAGGGGCUUCUUCUGGAACCCAUAAAUAGGACAUUGGGAGUUCCCUUCGUGGCUCAGUGGUUAAUGAACCCAACGAGGAUCCGUGGGGAUGUGGGUUCAAUCCCUGGCCUCGCUCAGUGGGUUAAGGAUCCCACGUUGCCAUGCGCUGUGGUGUAGGUCACAGACGUGGUGGAUCCCACGCUCAGUGGGUUAAAGAUCCCACAUUGCUGUGGCUGUGGUGUAGGCCGGCAGGUGCAGCUCUGAUUGUACCCCUGGCCUGGGAACUUCCAUAUGCUACAGCUACGGCCCUAAAAAGCAAAAGAAUAAAAAAA
rnacentral:lncRNA from 1 species